GCUGGCAUCGGAAAAACUGUCUCUGUACACAAGUUCAUCCUUGACUGGGCUGAAGGAAAAGCCAAUCAGGAUAUAGAUGCCAUGUUCCUGCUUCCAUUUCGAGAAAUUAAUUUGAUUAAAGAUGAAAAGAUCAAUCUCCAACAGCUUCUAAAUUGACAGACUGUAAUCUCACUGUUGAGUGCUGUGAAAGUUUAUCAAAUGCUCUACAUUCACCAAAUCAUCUUUUGGAGCUGAACCUGAGCUACAAUAAUCUGCAGGAUUCAGGAGUGAAGCUGCUCUCUGAUGGACUGAAGAGCCCAAACUGUAAACUGAAGUUACUGAGAUUAUGUUAUUGUAAAUUGACACAGGAAGGCGUUUCUUAUUUGGCUUCAGCUCUGAGGUCAAACCCAUCACACAUAAGAGAUCUGGAUCUGAGCUACAAUGACCCAGGAGUCUCAGGAAUGAAGCUGCUCUCUGAUCUACUGGAAGAUCCAAACUGUAGACUGGAGACACUCGGAUUGGAAAGCGGUAAUCUCUCUGCUGAGUGCUGUGAAAGUUUAUCAUCUGCUUUACAAUCAUUAAACUAUCAUCUGAUAGAUCUGAACCUGAGUAACAAUAAACUGAUUCAGGAUUCAGGAGGGAAGCUGAUCUCUGAUGGACUGAAAAGCCCAAACUGUAAACUGUGUUUAAAGAUUGGAUUUUGUGAGCUUGUACAAUAGAAUCAGUAUUACCUAAGAACCAGUAUUAAGACAACAAUACAAGACAACAAUGUGAAACAAUUUCAAACAGUUCAGACAUGGAACAAUAUCUAAAACAACAACAUGAAUUGAGCAACGUAAACGCACUGGAGCCUCGAGUUUCAGAGCAGAGAUUUAGAAAUGGCAUUUCAUUCCUUUAAAGAAAUUGUAAAAAAGGGUGACAUGGAGGAACAUCUGAGAUGAAAUUUCCAAAUCCAUGAAGGUUCAAGGUAAAUAGGCCGAAAAUAUGGCUGAAAGAUAAAGGUAAACUAAAUGCUACUCAUUUUGCAAUACUUUUUUGUUUGCCAAUCUCAAUGCCAAUACAUCUGUCAUGGAAUUUAGCAUUCAAUGUGUUGUAGCAUGUUUCCUUUAUAUUGCCUUUCGAAAGUUAAAUCACACAGCAGACGUUCUGACGUACGAGAAAUGCAUCUUUUAAUUUGUGCUCUCUGCUGAAUAAAAAUGGCAAAUGUGUUAUCUUGUCUUAUAUUUGCAAGAAUGAAAGGCAAUAACAACUGCUGCUUCCUACUUUAUGUUUUUAAUACAUCCAAAUUUCUGGGUGGAAAUUUAGCUAUAUGCUGUGCAAUAAA